CAUGCGAAUAAUAUAUUUAUUCAAGAAAUAGAGGUUACAUCACAUUCAAAAUUCAAAACCAAUAAACAUGUAUAUAAACUUCAACAGUAGCAGCGGAAUAUAAAUCAGAGGAAUCCAAAUAUACAUGUCAUAAACCAAAUAUUACAUCACAUAGAUGAAUCUCAAAAAUCCCCACAUACGGGUAAACUCCAAACAUAACAAAAUCCAAAGAAAACUAAUCUAGACCGACACGACAAGUCUAGAUCAGAGCCAACUCUAACGAAGAUAUCGGAGAAAGCUCUCGAUAUCCACCAAGCACGGAACUCACCGAGCAACUACUCCUGCACAACGUCUACUCACCCAUAUAGGCAAGCAGGCGGACAAACCACUGGGGGUAAGUAUUACAUCAUCAUAAUUCAAAUAACAGUUAAUCAUGGAUAUUUCAAUAUAACAUCAUGCAUUUGAUCAAUAACAAUAUACUUACAUCAAACUCCAAUAUCUCACAUCAAUAAUCUCCAAUCACAUGUGUCAUGAACGAAUAUCAACUUACAAUUAUUCAUACACCAUUAUCAAUCAUAUAUAUCAUGAACAAUCACCAAUCAUAUUCCAUAGUAAUCAUCAAAUCACAUUUGAUGAACAAUCACCAAUCACAUUUAUCAAAUAAGACUCAUGUCAUGAUAUGCACUUAUUGACUCAAAAAUGCAUGUGGUACCGAAUCACCUCCAGGUCGUCACCUUUGAUGCCUCUUGAACAUCAUAUGUAAGAUUUCACACCCGUCUUACAUAAUCUCCGAAGUAAAAGAGCUUAACCCUUUUACAACUACAAAUACAACACGACUAUGAUGCAUGGACAUGUAAUAAGACUCGAUAAUGCGACAACAAUCACAAUUCUCAACACAAUAUAUAGGACAACACCCAAUUAUAUUGUUCAUCUCCACAUCAAUUGCAUUAUCAAGAAAACAUGCCCACACACAAUUAAAUCAUAGUAUUCAUCAUCCCACAUUAACAUGAUUAUCAAUAAUCAACGACAUCAUUCAACAUCACUAUAUCAAAUAGUUUCAUCAUUUCAUUAUAUCUCAUAUCCCAAGUAACAAGAAAACACAACGUAUUAUGAUUAAUAUCAUAUCCAACAUCUAUCUAUUCAUUACAUAUCUCUAUUCAGUCAUAAAGGCUAGUCAUGAAAAUAUAACAAAGUAUUUAGUUAAAGGAACCAUUUUCCAAGCUAUCCAUCAAACAAAUCAAGAACAUUGAAAGCCUCGACUAAGUAUAUACACCGAUCACUCAUGAGUGCAGUGGCGUAUACAUCAACGUUUCAUGGACCAAUUCAUUUAAGAUGGCAAAGUUUUGGAAGUUUAAGCAAUUAUUCUUAAUGAAAAGAUAAUUCAUUUUCAAAACGAACCAAGUUAGAUUCCAACACAACUGAAGUUAAACACUCUUAAACCUUGAAUUGAACUCAUAAUAAACAAACUUUAAAGUCCGGAAACAAUCUAAAAGUUUUGGGUUGACUUAGAGUUAGUUAUGCGAAAUUUUCGUGAAACCUCAAUAAGACCUCCUUGGAGUUUUUGUAACAUAACUCAAAAAUUAAAACUUAUUUCCAAGUCAAACCAAAGCCAUUAGAAAGCCAACAUCAUUAUCUACAACUUUUAUGUUAACCAAAAAGUCCAAAUCAAAACAGAAAUAUGAGAAAACGAUGCAAGAACGAGAAACGGGGAAAACUGACACUGAGCAGUUCGCCUGGUGAGGAAGGUUGCUCGCCUGGCGAAACAAGUCAGGUUGCAGAAAAUUAUGUUACGGGAAAAAUCCAUUUUCAUCCCAAAAUCCCAAAUUUUGACUUCCCAAUGCCCAAAUUGGAAUCCAAAGUUUGUAUGAACGUUUCUAAUCUUGAAAAGACACUCAAUUCCAUAUAACCACUUGAAUCUAACAUCAUUUUAAACAAAAUCAUCAUUUGACCCAUUUUUGCAAAACAACCAACAACAUCUUAUUUCUCACUAACAAUCAUGAUAUAUGAACACCCAAGCCAUAAAUCAUAGCAACAACAUAUCUCAGCAACAACAACAUCAAUUGAAACUUGUUUCUCACCUCAAUUCAACAACAACAUGUCAUAAUUCAUCAAUUAAGCAUAAUUUCACAACUACCCAUUUUCAAACAUUAUGAACAUGUUAUUUCAUCACCAACAAUUCAUUUAUCAUUCAAUUAACAUACUCAAACUUAUCACCAAAACAAGAGCACGAAAUUCAAGAAUUGGGUUCAUUAUAAUCACUUAUUCUCAUAAUCAAUUAUGCAUAGAACAAGAGAAAAAGAAUUAACUAAGUGAUUAUGAUAAAGACUAACCUCCUUACCUUAAUUAUCUCCAACUAUUAACUCUAGCUUCACUUUUGCUCCUAUGAUUCUUCAAUCUUCAAGUUUCCCCUUUCUCUAACCCUUGUUCUUCCUUUCUCCCACUUUCUCUCUCUACCUCUCUAUAACUUUGUG
rnacentral:lncRNA from 1 species